UACGUAGGGUGCGAGCGUUGUCCGGAAUUAUUGGGCGUAAAGAGCUCGUAGGCUGUCUGUUGCGUCGGCUGUGAAAACCCGGGGCUCAACUCCGGGCCUGCAGCCGAUACGGGCAGACUAGAGUUCGGCAGGGGAGACUGGAAUUCCUGGUGUAGCGGUGAAAUGCGCAGAUAUCAGGAGGAACACCGGUGGCGAAGGCGGGACUCUGGGCCGAUACUGACGCUGAGGAGCGAAAGCGUGGGGAGCAAACAGG
rnacentral:rRNA from 1 species